UAACCCUGUAGUCAGGUGGCUCAAAGGCAGUAAUUCCCAUCAACGUGAGCAAGUUCUCCGUUGUGCGUGGCUGGGGCAGAGCGCCGGACCCACUCUCCCUUUUGCUCCAUUUUCGUUUCCCUGCCCUCUUCAUUAGCUGCUGACAGUUUUAGCUUCCUACGUCCAUUUAAAGAGAUUCCCCCCGCACAUCAUCUGGGAUUCAUGAACUGCAGAGAUCUGGGUCUGGCUAGCAGCCUUCUUCAGAAUAGAUGAUCUCUGAAGCAAAUGGCACACGUACUUUGGUAUGGGUCACUGAUAAAUAGAGGUUUCUAGGUGUUCUGAAUGUGGG
rnacentral:lncRNA from 1 species